rnacentral:rRNA from 1 species
GAUGAACGCUGGCGGCGUGCCUAAUACAUGCAAGUCGAGCGAACAGACGAGGAGCUUGCUCCUCUGACGUUAGCGGCGGACGGGUGAGUAACAAGUGGAUAACCUACCUAUAAGACUGGGAUAACUUCGGGCAACCGGAGCUAAUCCCGGAUAAUAUAUUGAACCGCAUGGUUCAAUAGUGAAAGACGGUUUUGCUGUCACUUAUAGAUGGAUCCGCGCCGCAUUAGCUAGUUGGUAAGGUAACGGCUUACCAAGGCAACGAUGCGUAGCCGACCUGAGAGGGUGAUCGGCCACACUGGAACUGAGACACGGUCCAGACUCCUACGGGAGGCAGCAGUAGGGAAACUUCCGCAAUGGGCGAAAGCUUGACGGAGCAACGCCGCGUGAGGGAUGAAGGUCUUCGGAUCGUAAAACUCUGUUAUUAGGGAAGAACAAAUGUGUAAGUAACUAUGCACGUCUUGACGGUACCUAAUCAGAAAGCCGCGGCUAACUACGUG